rnacentral:snRNA from 1 species
UACUCAUAACCGCAUCAGGU